rnacentral:misc_RNA from 1 species
GACGGGUUGAGAUUAGUGAGGAAGUUAAGACAGAUUGGACUGACAAAGAGACUUUGCACCUUUUAGAAGCUCUUAUGCAUUAUGGCGAUGAUUGGAAGAAGGUUGCUGAGCAUGUUGGUGGCAGAAGCACUAAGGAAUGUGUGGCUAGAUUUGUCAAGCUUCCUUUCGGUGAGCAGUUUAUGGGCCCUCCUGAAUCUGCAGAAAUGGAUAGUGAAUCCAGGUCUGAAACUAUGUAUCUUCAGUCUAAGAGAAGGCGCCUCACGCCCUUUGCUGAUACAAGCAACCCAAUUAUAGCACAGGCUGCUUUCCUCUCUGCUCUUGCUGGAAAAGAAGUUGCAGAAUUAGCAGCACAUGCCGCUGUUACUGCUUUGUCUGAGAUUGGUGAAGGAAUAACAACAGGGAGUCUAGAAUCUGUACUCUGUGGUGCAGAGCGGCAAGAAUUGGAUGGCAAGGAUAAACUCGAAAGACCUCUUGUUGAAGCAAUGGCUCAGUUUGAGAAGGAGGCAUUGGACCUGGAGAGAGCCGUCUCUGAUGUGGCAAUUGAGACAAAGGAAAUUGAGGUCAGAAUUGCUCAUUUUGAGGAACGUGAUUUACAGAUGGAGAAGGAGUGGCAACAGCUGAUGCAACUUAAGAACCUGAUCUUCAUUGAUCAACUUACUUUUCUAGUAAAUAAAUCUGGUGCUCCAAGAGCUGGGGAAACCAUUAGGGAGGAGGUGAUAGAUGUUAAGGCAGAAUGACAAAUCCCUUUGGCAUAAUCUGGUCUCUUAGGUAUUUGUCAAAUAUUAAGCAGUAGCAAAUUCAGAGGAAUCAUAUAGCAGAAGGUAUUUAUUUAUUGGGCUUCUAACCCCCCUGUGUGCUCUCCCUACCUUAUAUUUCCUUCCUUGCAUGUUGUAUUAGAACUUGUAAUUUACAUUUUUAUUGUGUUUAAUGGUAACUGUUAC